ensembl:lncRNA
AGAAGGAAGAGUGAGGGAGAAGGAGGAGGAGGAGGCUCCACCAAGUGAGGGGAGAAGGAGGAGGAGGAGAAGCAGUGAGGAGGAGAAGCAGGAGGAGGAGUGAGGGGGAGGAGGAGAAGGAAGAGUGAGAAGGAGGAGGAGGAGGAGUGAGGGGGAGAAGGAAGAGUGAGAAGGAGGAGGAGGAGGAGUGAGGGGGAGAAGGAAGAGUGAGAAGGAGGAGGAGGAGGAGGAGAGCGGGGCGGCUGACGUACCUCCAGCAGCUCGGGCCGGUCCACUGUCCACGCUGCCCCCGUGACCCGAGUACCUGCAGUCAGGUGGAGCCCGACCCGCCUCACAGUGGCAGUUCUUGUUGCUGUUACACACCUGGAACGCACACAGACACACACACACACACACACACACACACACACAAUGCAUCAUCUGCUCAUUGGUUCUGUUUUCAUCUCUCGGAUCCGUUCUGUUAGACGGUUUCAGCGGGUCACCAUCUUGUUGUUGUGCAGUAACUAAAAGAAGACGGAGAUCAGCGUGAAUCUAAAGACAACUGAGAUAACGCCGUGGUGGAGACCUGUCAAUCAGCAGGUGGAGCCCCGCCCUGAAGCUUCCCCUGUGUGUGGCUCAUGUUUACUGAGGGGGGCAGUGGUUCUUCUGUCAUAGACUUGUCCUCCACUCACCCCGUGACCGUUGCACUUGCCGCGACAUUCCUCCACCUGGAACACGGACACGUCCUGACACUUCUGGUUCAAACACGCCUGAAAGCACACAGCAGCCCUGUUAAAGAUAAAGAGACGGUUCCUCCGGGCCUGCGUGGGCGGAGCGGUCCUCACCUUGCCGGGGCCGCAGGCGGUGCCCUGGGCCACGGUGGCGGGGUCCGACACGUCGUCCCCCAGGUGGAAGAAGGUUCCCCUGCAGACCAGGUCGCUGUGGUUGAAGCGCACGGUGGUGGUGAGGAUCUCUGCGUUGGUGCCCAGCAGGGGGCGCUCCCUCCCACCCCGACAUUGGAUACGGCCGCAGUGCGUGUCACUGCGACAGACAGGAAGUGAUGUCAGGGCGGGGCUUCCACUCAGAAGCACCACAGCGUGGGACGGCAUGAGGACACCAAUACUGUCUCUGUGCACUUUGUGUACUAUAUGUACUUUGUACUGUGUACUUACGAGUUUCCACAGGGUAGGUAGGAGCCGUUGCUCAGCUGACCACAGUUUCCAUAUUUGUUUCCUUGUUUGUUGACUGAUGAGAAACAGACGGGUGGAGCAGUGGUGGCGUCUGAGGACAGACAGACAGAGACUGGUCUUAGCUCCAUGUGAACUGGCCUAGGUCAGCAGGGACUGGUCUUAGCCCAGUAUGACGUGGUCUUACUGGGCCCCCACAGCAUCCUGCACUGGGUGAGCAUGCUGGCACAGACCCCCUCGUAGCAGUAUGAGGCGUCGUCUUCGCAGGGCUCCCCGUUCUGCAGGAAGACGUUUGGGGGGCAGUAAGGAGACGAGCCGGUGCAGAACUCUGGGAGGUCACACUCUCCAAGCGGGUCGCGACACACCGAACCAGCUGCUCUUAGCUAAGGAGGGGGAGGAGCUUAGACACAAGCCAACGUGUGUGUGUGUGUGUGUGUGUGUGUGUGUGUGUCGGACCUUGCAGUCUUGGCAACAGAUUCCGUCAGAUGAACACUGAGCUCCAGAAACAAGUUGACAGGUGGAGGCGUUGCAGCAGGGGUCCUCACACUCCUAACCAAUCACAGCACAGCAUCAACACCAAGACGGAGGGUGCAGACAGACAGACAGACAGACGGGUAUAGAGACAGACAGACCUACCUCCAGCAGCCCACAGUCACACUGCUCCCCCGUCUCCACGUACAGGUUCCCACAUCGAGGUCCUCCCAGCAGGCGGUCCGGCUGAGGGACGUUGAAGAGACACAUCCCGCCCCCGUGCAGAAGGCUGACGGACAGGUCUGCAGCGCUGCAGCUGCUGAACUGUUGACCCGGCAUGAACCUAGAGGUCAGAGUCAUCUUUAAUUAAUGAAUUUAAUUAGUUGCUCUUGGGUUAGAUCUUGGUACUGACCCGGGUUAAAUGUUCUGGUACUGACCCGGGUUAACCCAGGUUAAAUGUUCUGGUACUGACCCGGUUGACGGCUCCAUGAUGCAUCCUCCGAGCCGCUGUUCAUUCUGACAGGAACAGCGGCGCUCGGCGGUGUCGUGACUCAUCCCCAAGUUAUGACCGAGCUCGUGAGCGACAGUGGCGGCCACGCCGAGCACGCUGACCAGGUGGUCCUGAGAGACAGACAGGUGUUCAGCCAGACAGAGACGUUCAGACAGACAGGUGUUUAGACAGACAGACGUUCAGACAGACAGGUGUUUAAACAGACAGACAGAGACGUUCAGACAGACAGGUGUUUAAACAGACAGACAGAGACGUUCAGACAGACAGGUGUUUAAACAGACAGACAGACGGGUGUUUAAACAGACAGACAGACGGGUGUUUAAACAGACAGACAGA